rnacentral:rRNA from 1 species
UUGACCUCAAAUCGGGUGAGACUACCCGCUGAACUUAAGCAUAUCAAUAAGCGGAGGAAAAGAAACUAACAAGGAUUCCCCUAGUAACUGCGAGUGAAGCGGGAAAAGCUCAAAUUUAAAAUCUGGUGGUCUUUGGCCAUCCGAGUUGUAAUUUAGAGAAGCGUCUUCCGCGCUGGACCAUGCACAAGUCUCCUGGAAUGGAGCGUCAUAGAGGGUGAGAAUCCCGUCUUUGGCAUGGACCCCAGGGCUUCUGUGAUGCGCUCUCAAAGAGUCGAGUUGUUUGGGAAUGCAGCUCAAAAUGGGUGGUGAACUCCAUCUAAAGCUAAAUAUUGGCGAGAGACCGAUAGCGAACAAGUACCGUGAGGGAAAGAUGAAAAGCACUUUGGAAAGAGAGUGAAACAGUACGUGAAAUUGUUGAAAGGGAAACGCUUGAAGUCAGUCGCGUCGACCGAGACUCAGCCUUGCCUUGGCUUGGUGUACUUCUCGGCUGACGGGUCAGCAUCAAUUUCGAUCCUUGGAUAAUGGCAAGGGAAAGGUAGCACCUUUACAGGUGUGUUAUAGUCCUCUGUCGGAUGCAAGGGUUGGGAUUGAGGAACUCAGCACGCGCCUUGUCGGUGUCGGGGCCUU